rnacentral:rRNA from 1 species
CACGUAGGGUGCGAGCGUUGUCCGGAAUUAUUGGGCGUAAAGAGCUCGUAGGCGGUGUGUCGCGUCGGCCGUGAAAACCUGCAGCUUAACUGUGGGCUUGCGGUCGAUACGGGCAUCACUGGAGUUCGGCAGGGGAGACUGGAAUUCCUGGUGUAGCGGUGAAAUGCGCAGAUAUCAGGAGGAACACCGGUGGCGAAGGCGGGUCUCUGGGC